GCACGGACUGACCCUUUCACAUUUUGCUAAUUGUGUACAGGCUGUGUUUUUAAGCCUGUUUAUAAAGAGCAUGCUGCUGCAGCAUUAACAGUUAACAGUUGUUAACAAUUAAUACUUUAUUUGUACUAGCAGUAAUUUCUGUAUGUUAUAUCUUAAAAUAACAGGAAGCUUGCAGAGAAUAUCAGUCCAGGGGAGUGGUCUGAAAUGAAUGGCUUUGAGUUGGAGGGGUUUCCAAGCCAAGACAAGACUUUGAGGUUGACUGUGGCAUCUACAUGUUGAUGGUAAGAUUCGUCAUUCAGAUAUUUUUGGACUGUCAAGAUGCUUUUGAGAAUAAGUCAUGAACAUUGACAUUUAUUUUUUAAUUGACAGUCUGCUUUAUAUGUGGUGCUGGAUGCUCCCUUUUAUUACACCAUAGUAAGUAGCUCUUUUUAGAGAGCAAUAAAGUAUGUGUGCAAAGAAGUCACUAAAUGACACUAAAUUGAUUUUUAAUAGUUAGACAUGCCGAAAUUGCGGAAAUGGUGGUGCCUGCUGCUAAUGGAAAACUUCGAUCUCCGAAGUUAUGGGAAGGUAUUUGCACACUGGACAAAGGAAUCAGAGGCUGUGCUGAGAGGUGAACAUGCACCUGUAUUCAGACUAAGAAAGCGCAAAUCUGUGGAACUUAGCCUGAAACCAGCAGAAGGGAUGUGCUGGAUGGAGACAACAUAGAAUCCAAGGAGCCAUUCCUCUUUGGUUUUCAGGUCCAAGAGGACAUGGAAUUAUUUUUACAGGCCUGUGUUGACCAGCGGGGCCUUCGGGUUAAUGCUGUCUGUUAUAAGAAUGAUUAAAUUACUGGCACAUGAGUGUGUUGAUUAUAAUUUUUUUAUUUCAUCCUGUUUGUUGUUGCCUUCUAAAUAAAUUUAACAGUUUAUUAAAUAUAAUUAUUACAU